GAUGAACGCUGGUGGCGUGCCUAAUACGUGCAAGUCGAGCGAACGGACGAGAAGCUUGCUUCUCUGAUGUUAGCGGCGGACGGGUGAGUAACACGUGGAUAACCUACCUAUAAGACUGGGAUAACUUCGGGAAACCGGAGCUAAUACCGGAUAAUAUUUUGAACCGCAUGGUUCAAAAGUGAAAGACGGUCUUGCUGUCACUUAUAGAUGGAUCCGCGCUGCAUUAGCUAGUUGGUAAGGUAACGGCUUACCAAGGCAACGAUGCAUAGCCGACCUGAGAGGGUGAUCGGCCACACUGGAACUGAGACACGGUCCAGACUCCUACGGGAGGCAGCAGUAGGGAAUCUUCCGCAAUGGGCGAAAGCCUGACGGAGCAACGCCGCGUGAGUGAUGAAGGUCUUCGGAUCGUAAAACUCUGUUAUUAGGGAAGAACAUAUGUGUAAGUAACUGUGCACAUCUUGACGGUACCUAAUCAGAAAGCCACGGCUAACUACGUGCCAGCAGCCGCGGUAAUACGUAGGUGGCAAGCGUUAUCCGGAAUUAUUGGGCGUAAAGCGCGCGUAGGCGGUUUUUUAAGUCUGAUGUGAAAGCCCACGGCUCAACCGUGGAGGGUCAUUGGAAACUGGAAAACUUGAGUGCAGAAGAGGAAAGUGGAAUUCCAUGUGUAGCGGUGAAAUGCGCAGAGAUAUGGAGGAACACCAGUGGCGAAGGCGACUUUCUGGUCUGUAACUGACGCUGAUGUGCGAAAGCGUGGGGAUCAAACAGGAUUAGAUACCCUGGUAGUCCACGCCGUAAACGAUGAGUGCUAAGUGUUAGGGGGUUUCCGCCCCUUAGUGCUGCAGCUAACGCAUUAAGCACUCCGCCUGGGGAGUACGACCGCAAGGUUGAAACUCAAAGGAAUUGACGGGGACCCGCACAAGCGGUGGAGCAUGUGGUUUAAUUCGAAGCAACGCGAAGAACCUUACCAAAUCUUGACAUCCUUUGACAACUCUAGAGAUAGAGCCUUCCCCUUCGGGGGACAAAGUGACAGGUGGUGCAUGGUUGUCGUCAGCUCGUGUCGUGAGAUGUUGGGUUAAGUCCCGCAACGAGCGCAACCCUUAAGCUUAGUUGCCAUCAUUAAGUUGGGCACUCUAAGUUGACUGCCGGUGACAAACCGGAGGAAGGUGGGGAUGACGUCAAAUCAUCAUGCCCCUUAUGAUUUGGGCUACACACGUGCUACAAUGGACAAUACAAAGGGCAGCGAAACCGCGAGGUCAAGCAAAUCCCAUAAAGUUGUUCUCAGUUCGGAUUGUAGUCUGCAACUCGACUACGUGAAGCUGGAAUCGCUAGUAAUCGUAGAUCAGCAUGCUACGGUGAAUACGUUCCCGGGUCU
rnacentral:rRNA from 1 species